rnacentral:rRNA from 1 species
UACGGAGGGGGCUAGCGUUGUUCGGAAUUACUGGGCGUAAAGCGCACGUAGGCGGCUUUGUAAGUUAGAGGUGAAAGCCCGGGGCUCAACUCCAGAACUGCCUUUGAUACUGAGGGUCUUGAGUAUGGGAGAGGUGAGUGGAACUGCGAGUGUAGAGGUGAAAUUCGUAGAUAUUCGCAAGAACACCAGUGGCGAAGGCGGCUCACUGGCCCAUUACUGACGCUGAGGCACGGAAAGCGUGGGGAGCAAACAGG